GAGUUUGAUCCUGGCUCAGAACGAACGCUGGCGGCAGGCUUAACACAUGCAAGUCGAACGCCCCGCAAGGGGAGUGGCAGACGGGUGAGUAACGCGUGGGAAUCUACCCAGUUCUACGGAACAACUGAGGGAAACUUCAGCUAAUACCGUAUACGCCCUACGGGGAAAGAUUUAUCGGAAUUGGAUGAGCCCGCGUUGGAUUAGCUAGUUGGUGAGGUAACGGCUCACCAAGGCGACGAUCCAUAGCUGGUCUGAGAGGAUGAUCAGCCACACUGGGACUGAGACACGGCCCAGACUCCUACGGGAGGCAGCAGUGGGGAAUAUUGGACAAUGGGCGCAAGCCUGAUCCAGCCAUGCCGCGUGAGUGAUGAAGGCCUUAGGGUUGUAAAGCUCUUUUACCCGGGAAGAUAAUGACUGUACCGGGAGAAUAAGCCCCGGCUAACUCCGUGCCAGCCGCCGCGGUAAC
rnacentral:rRNA from 1 species